GAGAGGUUUCACUGUCGGGGCAUUGCAAAACGAGACAGUACCUGGGAUCCGAGCGACUUAGUUGGAGCAUUGAUUCUUCUUUUUGGCAUCGAAGGUGCCAGAGAUCGCCGGCCAUUGGGUCGUCUGGAAGCGAACCGGUCGUCUGAUUGAUACAACCAGCAGAUGCGGCCGAGCUGACAUAAUUCAUGAAAAUGGUGACGUCUACAAGAUUGACGGCCAGUGGAUGGACGAUCAUGGUAAAUCUUACGAGGAAGCCUUCUUCGUGGUGGACGACCGAAGUCAUCCCGCGCGAUUCCUCUUCCAAUCAGACAAUCACAAGGUGGCGCUUUCGAUCCUGGGCUCAGAUUACAAAAACUAUUUAGUGGCUUACGGAGUGCUCGGUCCGAAAGUGAACUACAACGUCUGCUUCCGUCAACUGCCCCCUGACCCAGCAAGUGUAGCGGAAGUGGAGGCGAUUCUCACGAAAAAUAAGGUCGAAUUAGACACGCUCAAGGCGAUGGAACAGUCGAACUGCUGAGUCAGGUUCUAUGUGAUCUUGGGUUCUAAUCGACUUCUAACACAUUUAUAAUCGGAAU